GGGCAAUUGCAAAGAGAAGCAGAAGCAGUGAUUAUAAUUCAUCUGAUGCCUGCACAGUGGGUAUGUCAGGAAGUCUUCCCGGAAAAAAAAAAAAAGUACUUAUGUGGAGGAGUUAUCUGAAGGUGGGGAAAAAACGUUUGAUGGGCAGGGAGAGGCAGGUCUAUGUGAGCCUAUCUAUUUCUGUGUGUGUCUAUUCCUUUGUCUGCAUGUAUCUGUUCCUGUGUGUGCAUGUAUCUAUUUUUGUGUGUGAAUGUGUCUAUUCCUGUGUAUCAUCUAAAUAUGUCUCUGUGUGUGUCUCUCCCUCCCCCCUGCUUGGGAUCGGUUAUGUGCUGGGAACAGGAAAAGGACAUGCCAGGAUAUGCUAGGGUGGGUGUGUUUAAACCUGCUUCUAGAGCAGGUCCUACCAGCCCAGGUUGGAGAGUCCAGCGGAAGCAAGCACCAGGUAUCGGCAGAGCAGUGGUGAAUACAGGACAACCCUGCCCUUCUCACUUAUCUCAGCAGUGUGCAGAGCCCAGCCCAGCUCAGAGGGCACUGAGAUGGAGCACAGGGACAUACUGGACAGGUCCCCAUUGUAACAAAAGAGGAGCACUGGAAUAUCUGGCUUCUCCCUGCUCCCUAUACUCCAUCUUGGUCGUACCUGGCCCUUCCUGCCCAGCGUAAGGGAUAAUGUACUUAGC
rnacentral:lncRNA from 1 species